rnacentral:tRNA from 1 species
GGAGAGGUGGCUGAGCGGUUGAAAGCGGCUUCCUGCUAAGAAGUUAUAGGUUAACGCCUAUCGAGGGUUCGAAUCCCUCCCUCUCCG